GGACUACUAGGGUAUCUAAUCCUGUUCGCUCCCCACGCUUUCGCACCUCAGUGUCAGUAUUCAUCCAGAUAGCCGCCUUCGCCACUGGUGUUCUUUCCGAUCUCUACGCAUUUCACCGCUACACCGGAAAUUCCACUACCCUCUACGAUACUCUAGUCUACCAGUAUUGACUGACUUUCCCAGGUUAAGCCCGGGGCUUUCACAGUCAACUUAAUAAACCACCUACGUGCCCUUUACGCCCAGUAAUUCCGAUUAACGCUUGCACCCUCUGUAUUACCGCGGCUGCUGGCAC
rnacentral:rRNA from 1 species